rnacentral:misc_RNA from 1 species
CACAAACUCAGAUAGCUUGAAAACGAGAAGGUUUCCAAUAAUAAAAAUCAUUAAUAAAAUAGAAACAAAAACAAAAACUGCUCCUUUAGGACCAAACAAGAAGUGAUGCAUUUUUAAGGCAACAAAAGCACUAAAAAGAAAAACUGAAUAACAGUGGUUUUAUAUGCGCACUCAGCUGCACAUGCCAGCAAGUUAAUCAAAAG